GUCUCCAUGGUCCAGUGGUUAAGACGUUACAUUGUGGUUGUUAGAAAUCUAAUUUCACGCACUGUGGAAACGCGUGUUCGAUUCACGCUGGGGACA